GCAGCCGUAGGUGCCCCUCGAGUAUAAUAAACGCGAGCCCACCUUAUCGCCAGUCACCCACCCCACCCCAAGACCCUCCCAAAGUCCCAAAGGCCGCCGCCGCCCGCCAGCCUGCCAUGGCCGCGCAGUCCUUCCUCCUCGCAGCCACGGCCACGGCCACGACCGCCGCGCUCUUCGCGGCUCCCUAUUCCUCCGCACGCCCUUUCCACUCGGCCCACUUCGUCGCCGGCCCGGGGGGCGCCGCCGCCGCCAGGGCACUCGUCGUCGCCGACGCGUCUAAGAAGGCCGUAGCCGUCCUCAAGGGCACGUCCGAGGUCGAGGGCGUCGUCACGCUCACGCAGGACGACGACGGACCUACAACUGUGAACGUCCGUAUCACUGGACUUACUCCUGGACUUCAUGGCUUCCACCUCCACGAGUUUGGUGAUACUACCAAUGGGUGCAUAUCGACAGGACCACAUUUUAAUCCAAACAAUCUGACACACGGUGCACCAGAAGACGAAGUCCGUCAUGCGGGUGACCUGGGAAACAUUGUUGCCAAUGCUGAGGGCGUAGCUGAGGCAACCAUUGUUGAUACCCAGAUUCCAUUGAGUGGCCCAAAUUCAGUUGUUGGGAGAGCAUUUGUGGUUCAUGAGCUUGAAGAUGAUUUGGGGAAAGGUGUGCCUAGUUCUACUUGCAUUCCACAUUUUCUUUCUAUUCAGUUAGUACGCAACCCUUUUAACUUUGUUCUUUGUGUUUAGGUGGCCAUGAGCUCAGCCUCUCUACUGGAAAUGCUGGUGGAAGACUGGCAUGUGGUGUUGUUGGCCUGACUCCAUUGUAGGUUGCUCGCCGGGUGCCCGGGUUGCAGUUGCAGCUUCGCUGUUACAUCCUUGGUGGCCUGUUGUCUUCAAUAGUGUUAUUGGGACAGUGCCUUUUUUUUGUAUUACUUGGAUUCAUGCCAUGCAUGGUAUGGUGCGUAAUAUCCUUUGCAGUUCGGUUGUAUAAAAAAUAAUAUUUAGCUGAGGAAAUAAGUGUUGUCACAUAUCCAAAUCGAUCUAUGAAGCACUAUGAACAUCAACUAUUUACUGCUACGUUGUUUUCGUACCUGAAACGUUUGAACAUGCCUGUUCUUGCA